UUUAAUUAAUGAUCGAAUAUCAUAAUCAAUAAGUAUUUCCUAACUACACUGCAUGAAGGGCAUUUUGAACCUAAUUUUUAAAACUUUCAUACUAAAUCAAUCUAGUGACCGGGCAGAUUUCCACCUGAGGAAUAUUCUGAAGGAAGGCGCGAUUUGAUACAAGAUUAGGGUGAACUGGAUCGCCCUAACGUCGGAUUGGAGCGUAAUCAAAACUAACACGAGAUAGAGCCUGCACUACACUAUCUACAGGGUGUGCCAACGUCGCAGGAAUUGCGAUAGAAUGCUAACGCGACCUCGCGACUCCAGCAAUGGUGCUCAUAGUGGUGGAAAGUUCAUUUAUCGAGAAAGGCUAUAAGGCCACUGGCCUAACCCAACGUGGGGACCAUGCACGGGGGCAAUUUGUUAAGAUGGCCAAUUCGA